CACAGUAGUGGCGAAUGCACAGGGGCAAACUCAGAUUGGAAAGUGGGGCACAUGGCCCCGAAUUGUAGUCUUGUGAUGCGCUACUGGUGGAGAGGCAGCUACAUACUCUUGGAAAAGUGCAUCAAUGAGGGUGACAACCCUGUGUGCAAGCUGCAGCACUCCAGCACACAGUGCGCACUUUGCGAGUCGUGUACCUCGGCACUGGUGCAUGAAGUGGUGGUAAUGUUCAUCCAAAGUUGAAGGGGUGUUUGAGACCAACAGCAAACAAGUACCCUAAGGGAAAGGUGAAACAGGACUUUGAAAAGAGAGAUAAAUACGCUUGAACUUGCUGAAUUUGAAGUGAGGGGAGACAGUGUAAUGUGGUAGGAUUUCUGUGUGUCAAUGUGUUUGCCUGCUGCUUUGCGCGCAAGUGCAGCGGGAGGUCAUGAACAGGAUGCACGCAGUGUAUCUAGCCCCAUCAAUCAAUCUCAGUAUGUUGCUCGAGGGGAGAAGCAGAGACCUGGUUGACCAUCCCUGGGUGGAAGAAGAUCUUCGCAUUGUUCGUGUAUGUGCAUCUUAGUGACUACAUGGUUCCAUUUGGCCCGUCUUGAAACACGGAUCAAGGAGUCUAAUAUACAUGCAAGUUCAUGGGUGGCAGACUUGUGUGCACAAUGAAAAUGCUGGCUGGUAGUGUUUGCACCAGCAACCGAUUGUUUGUCUACGGAAUGCCUGUGUAUGAGUAUGUCGGUUAGGACCCGAAAGAUGGUGAACUAUGCCUGUGAAAGACAAAUUUAGGGGAAACUCUGAUGGAGGCCUGUAGCGAUACUAACGUGCAAAUUGUUCGUUAUACAUGGGCAUAUGGGGUGAAAGACUAAUCGAACCAUCUAGUAGCUGGUUCCCUCCGAAGUUUCCCUCAGGAUAGUUGGAGCUGAAUAGUUUUACUAGGUAAAGCAAAUGAUUUGAGGCAUUGGGGGCCUGUUGCCCUUGACCUAUUCUCAAACUCUAAAUAGGUAAGACCCAGCGGUUACUUGUGUGAGCAACUGGGGCGAUUGACAUCUCCAAGUGGGCCAUUCUUGGUAAGCAGAACUGGCGAUGAGAGAUGAACCUAAGGUUAGGCUAAGGCGCCCCAGUGCAUGCUCAUCAGAUACCAUAAAGGGUGUUGGUUCAUCUUGACAGCAGGACGGUGGUCAUGGAAGU
rnacentral:rRNA from 1 species